rnacentral:rRNA from 1 species
UGGGGAAUAUUGCACAAUGGAGGGAACUCUGAUGCAGCAACGCCGCGUGCGGGAUGACGGCCUUCGGGUUGUAAACCGCUUUCAGCCCUGACGAAGCUUUUGUGACGGUAGUGGUAGAAGAAGCACCGGCUAAAUACGUGCCAGCAGCCGCGGUAAUACGUAUGGAGCGAGCGUUGUCCGGAAUUAUUGGGCGUAAAGGGUGCGCAGGCGGCUUUACAAGUUGGAUGUGAAAUAUUGUGGCUCAACCACAAACGUGCAUCCAAAACUGCAAAGCUUGAGUUAAGGAGAGGUAAGUGGAAUUCCUGGUGUAGCGGUGGAAUGCGUAGAUAGCAGGAGGAAUACCGGUGGCGAAGGCGACUUACUGGACUUAAACUGACGCUCAGGCACGAAAGCGUGGGGAGCAAACAGG